UACGGGGGGGGCAAGCGUUGUUCGGAAUUACUGGGCGUAAAGCGCGCGUAGGCGGCUUUGCAAGUCGAGUGUGAAAUCCCCAGGCUUAACCUGGGAACUGCAUUCGAGACUGCAUAGCUAGAGUAUGGGAGAGGGAAGUGGAAUUUCAGGUGUAGCGGUGAAAUGCGUAGAUAUCAGGAGGAACACCUGUGGCGAAAGCGGCUCACUGGACCAUAACUGACGCUGAUGCACGAAAGCUAGGGGAGCAAACAGG
rnacentral:rRNA from 1 species